CAUCAUCAACCUCACAAAACCAGGAAAUACCUGCCGGCUACGCCCCAAACAUUUCUAAAGAGGAGCUUCCACCACAUGGUCUCAAUCUAGCAGUACAGUCCUGGCCAGCGCGUAAUUGUCUAAGUGCUUCUGGAUGGCGGCGGGUUGUUUGGUCAUUAAGGAGUCUAUUAAGUCAUUAGUGCAACAGUGGGCUGCCGUCUGCCUGCCGACUGGACCAGAUGAUCGGGUUGAUACACGUUGCCUUUUUUUGUCCGCAUAUUUCUGCAGUGUGUUGAAGUGAGCAAUAGGUGAGCAACAGGACAACAGGAGCCCCAGGACAACGUUAGACAGGAUGAUAGAGUGAGGAGGAGGAAGUAGGACGUGACUUCCCAGAUCAGCGAAACGCUCGCUAACGCAUCCCUUUAAAGGCCUGACGCAUUGGACGCAUCAUUAGUCUAUGAAGUGGCUCCUGCAGAGACAUCCACACCUCUGGCCUAUAAAGUAGUCCCAGGCAGACUGGAGCUGUCAUAGAAACACAAUGAGGACUGUGAUGCACCAGCGAUCACUACAAACAUGCCGCCCAAACGCCUGCAUCGCUUUCUCCGAUCCAACAGCUCGGAAAACGACUUCCUUUGGGCUCCCUUGUCUAGGGUUCUGCAAGAAAGUCUUGGACAAUCCAAGACCAACUGCUCACAUGAUGAAUCACCGCUACUCUUGUUUCUCCAGGAUAUUGUAAGCCGCUACUUUUAUGGAGAACAAAUAGCAUGUUGGCCAACAGUGUUUGGACACUUUCCCAACACAGAUUUCCCUUUUUAACAUUACUCAUGUUUCAGAGUGACCACGCCACGCUGCGUUCACUCCCCAGUCGCAAUCCAUCUCACUUCUCCUGAUUCCCACACACGUGUUCUCCCUAUGCCUCAAAGUCUAUCCUCCAUGCGUCCCGCUGACCUCACCGCUCUCACAGUCGAGCGUACAGGGAUGCAAUCAACCAUAGCUUUCAGAUUAAAUCGCAAAUUAUUAUAAUUGACGAUAAUGGUUUCCAUGUCAGCUGUGCCCGUCAUUGUUCUCGUACAUAUUUAGAAACAAGGUUGGGAUCUGAUCUGAAGUGAAUUCAAACUCACAGGCGGAUGUAAUUUGUAAAUCUGUCUAAUCUACACCAAUGUACCACAUAAUGUUAAUUAUUGGAGCCUGAAUAAACUGUUUGUAAGACAGACAGACUUAUACAGGUAGGCCAGGGGUCGGCAACCCAAAACAU